GUGCUAGGGUUUCUCCGCUCGUCGUCGUCGGCUCUCAGGUUAUUCUACUCCCCCUACUUCUGAGUGCUAGGUUGCCUCCCACCUCCUGCUCCGGCCGUCCUUAAAUCCACUUAUUUUGAGCCUCUGCUUUCAAGAACUCAAGUUUGCUUAAAGAUUAUUUAUAAUAGCCUAGGCUUCUUGAAGAAAAUUCCAACUACAAGCAGUAUCACAGAAUUGUCACCAAAAUCUUUCUUCAGCUGAACUAUGCCAUGAUUUUAUAGUUUUACAAGCUUAACUUGCAGAAGGGUUUAGAAUGUGUUAUAUCCACAUAUGUACAAAAUUGGACAUACCAUACUGACCAUCUGACUGCAUAUCAUAUUGUUCAUGGGCAGCGCCUAUCGUAGCCCUCUGUUACCCAGGAUUUAUCUUUUGGUGAUGUUCGAUGGACUUGUAUUUAAUUAGGUAACACCAUAUGUAGAGAUAUGUGCGCAUCUUAGACAUCCUUAAAACUCUU
rnacentral:lncRNA from 1 species